rnacentral:lncRNA from 13 species
GUUGUGGCAGUUCUCCACCAUCCCAAGAUAAAGCACAUCCCAGUGACUUGCGCUGACCUAGGAAAAGUGGGCAUCAUUGGGAGAAGGUCACUCUGAUGUGAUGGAAAGGCAGAAAUCAAUGAUGGCUGGCUCCUCAGUGAUAUGAGUCAAUCCAUCAGACAGAAUGAUGGCAGUCACCCAGCCUUCACAGCCACCACCACCAUGCUGGCAAAUGUCACAUUUGGAAUUCAUUUGCAUAGCUGGGUAGCACUCCCUGUGGAGUUACAUUGAACAAUUUUGCAGCUGUGACAGCUUGAAAUAGAAAAGCUAAUGCAGCUAUCAACUUCCGCUGUGCCUUGUUUCCUUAAAAUCUAGCUGGGAAAUCUUGUUACAGAAAGGAGGAAGAUCACGUAAAAUGGAAGGGAAACUGGUGCAAAGCUUUCAGGUAUUUUGUGGAGAGUAUUAUCAGUUACCCUGUAUUUCUUGUGGGUUUUGGUUUUGUUUUCUUUUUAGACGGAGUUUCGCUCUCGUUUCCCAGGCUGGAGUGCAACGACGCGAUCUCGGCUCUCUGCAACCUCCGCCUCCUGGUUUCAAUGAACCUCCGGCAAUCUGUCAACUGCAGUUAAGGAUUUUCUACCCCCAGUCCUGGAUCCCACAGUUUUGUUCCUGGGAUUCUGCUCCAGGAUCCCGUGAUUCUCUACAUCUACCUAUCUUCCUCUUCAACAUUUCAGUCAGUUUUUCACUUUGUGACCUCAUGUAUCCUCACCUCAUGGUUCUAAGAGGAGUGGUCAUUUUUUAUUUUUUUUCUCAACUUUUUGUUGUUGUGAAAUUGCAGUGACGACUUUCAAACUUCUGACAUUCCAGACCAGAAACCAGAAAUCUCUCAGUAUUAAUUCAAUCAUUUAAAUUUAUUGACUUAGUUUAUUGCUCCUUUAGGGUUUUAUUUUUUCUUUAUUUUGAAGCUCUAUAAUUUGAUAAAUAAAUGGUUAUUGUUUAUAUGCUUUCCUGAUGAA